GGACUGGCUCCUUGGCUGGAAGGUAGCACCUUGGACUGAGCAGUGCUGGUUAAGGCCAGAAGGAGCUGUGGAGCUCUGGCCAAGGAAAGCCCUAGGCUGCCGGCCUAGGCCGGCAGGUGCAUAGGGCUGAAGGGGAAGUGGCCCAGGGAUAAUAGCCGGGCAAGGGGAGAGAAGGAGGGUGGAGAGGCUGCUGUUAGAGGGUCCCUGGGUCAGGGCCUAGAGUAGUGGGUGGGCUUGGGUCCCCCCCUUCCCCUUGUGCCUCACUGGGCUGAAGAGGAGUGUGGCCCGAUCCAGGCUGUGGCUGGGCCCUGUGAUAAGGGGCUAGACUUAGAGGCUGCAGCCAGACACUACAACAGGUGCAGAUUGUGGACUGCUUAUAAGACCAAACCCCUGGAAGGGGGCGAGACCAGAGCAGUGGGCAUUGCUGGAGGGCAGUGUCCUGAAGAAGAUGCUGCUGAGCGGGGAGCAACAAGGCACCAUGCGAAAAAGGUGCUCCAUGACUGGACAGAGCUAAUUCCUGGAGCAACCAGCGGGCAGUGCCAGCGGUGGUAAGGAGUACGGUGAAUGUUCCUGAAUGCAUUGUUACUCUUGAAGAUUCCAUCAAUGAGUUAGCCACAAAAAACUUGUCAUCUUUCACCAGCAGCCAUUCACUGAAAAACAUAAUUUGUUUCUAUGUCAUGUCUGACAUUUAACCCUCUAAAAUUACAUGUUUAUUAUAAAUAUAA